rfam:Thermoanaerobacter tengcongensis MB4, complete genome.
GGUCAAGAGAGGUAAGGGCGCAUGGUGGAUGCCCAGGCACCUGGAGCCGAUGAAGGACGCGGCAAGCGGCGAAACGCCCCGGGGAGCCGCAAGCGGGCAGAGAUCCGGGGAUUUCCGAAUGGGGGAACCCGCUUGAGGUAAUACUCAAGCAUCCGCUGAUGAAUCCAUAGUCAGCGGAGGGGAACCGGGCGAACUGAAACAUCUAAGUAGCCCGAGGAAAAGAAAGCAAAAGCGAUUCCCUAAGUAGUGGCGAGCGAAAGGGGAAGAGCCCAAACCUACCGCUUAGGCGGUAGGGGUUCGGGCCCACCGCAAAAGUGUGCGAGUACUCUAGGCGAACGGACCUGGAAAGGCCGGCCAUAGAGGGUGAAAGCCCCGUAGCCGAAAGGGGAAAGCGCACUGGUGGGUACCAGAGUACCACGGGAUAGGCGACCCUGUGGGAAGGAGGGAGGACCACCUCCUAAGGCUAAAUACUCCAGGUGACCGAUAGCGCAUAGUACCGUGAGGGAAAGGUGAAAAGAACCCCGGGAGGGGAGUGAAAUAGAACCUGAAACCAUGUGCCCACAAGCAGUCAGAGCCUGGGUAAUACCAGGUGAUGGCGUACUUUUUGCAGUACGGGCCGGCGAGUUAUGGUAGCGAGCGAGGUUAAGGGUAGAGAUACCCGGAGCCGAAGCGAAAGCGAGUCCGAAGAGGGCGGAAAGUUCGCUGCCAUAGACCCGAAACCGUGCGACCUACCCAUGGCCAGGGUGAAGCCGGAAUAAAAUCUGGUGGAGGCCCGAACCCGUUGGCCGUGAAAAGCCAUGGGAUGAGCUGUGGGUAGCGGUGAAAUGCCAAUCGAGCACGGAGAUAGCUGGUUCUCCCCGAAAUAGCUUUAGGGCUAGCCUCAGGGUAAAGCCUGUGGAGGUAGAGCCACUGACUGGGCUAGGGGCCGAGAGGCUACCGAACCCUAUCAAACUCCGAAUGCCACAGGCAAGUACCUGGGAGUCAGACCACGAGUGAUAAGAUCCGUGGUCGAGAGGGGAACAGCCCAGACCCCCAGCUAAGGUCCCGAAGGGCAUGUUAAGUGGGAAAGGAAGUGGGACUUCGAAGACAACCGGGAUGUUGGCUUAGAAGCAGCCAUACAUUUAAAGAGUGCGUAACAGCUCACCGGUCGAGAGGUCCUGCGCCGAAAAUGAACGGGGCUCAAACAUGCCACCGAAGCUGGGGCUGCGCGUAAGCGCGGGGUAGGGGAGCGUACUGCGCGGGCAGAAGGCUGAGCGUAAGCGAGGCUGGACUGCGCAGUAGUGAGAAUGCCGGCAUGAGUAGCGAGAGCAAGGUGAGAAACCUUGCCGCCGGAAGCCUAAGGUUUCCUGGGGAAGGGUAAUCCGCCCAGGGUAAGUCGGGGCCUAAGCCGAGGCCGGAAGGCGUAGGCGAUGGGAAACCGGUUGAUAUUCCGGUACCACCGAGGGCCGCUUGAGGGAAGCGGGGACGCAGCGAGGUAGGCGGAGCGCGCGGUUGGUAGAGCGCGUCCAACCAGACACCGGAGGGCACGUAGGCAAAUCCGCGUGCCGGCAGGGGGCUGGGAAGGGGAGCCGGAAGGCGAAGCCGCUAAGAACGCUGCCAAGAAAAGCCGCUACCGAGGCCUGAGGUGCCCGUACCGCAAACCGACACAGGUAGGCGAGGAGAGAAUCCACAGGCGAGCGGGAGAACCCUCCUUAAGGAACUCGGCAAAAUGACUCCGUAACUUCGGGAGAAGGAGUGCCGAAAGGCCGCAGAGAAGAGGCCCAAGCGACUGUUUACCAAAAACACAGGUCUCUGCUAAGCCGAAAGGCGAAGUAUAGGGGCUGACGCCUGCCCGGUGCUGGAAGGUUAAGGGGAAGGGUGAAAGCCCUGAACCGAAGCCCCAGUGAACGGCGGCCGUAACUAUAACGGUCCUAAGGUAGCGAAAUUCCUUGUCGGGUAAGUUCCGACCUGCACGAAAGGCGUAACGACUUGGGCGCUGUCUCGAGGAGGGGCCCGGCGAAGUUGUAGUGCUCGUGAAGAUGCGAGCUACCCGCGAUUGGACGGAAAGACCCCGUGGAGCUUUACUGUAGCCUGUCACUGGGUCCUGGUAGUUCCUGUACAGGAUAGGUGGGAGACUGGGAAGGUGGCGCGCCAGCGUCACUGGAGUCGGCGUUGGGAUACCACCCUGGGACUAGUGGGGUUCUAACCUUAAGCCGUGAACCGGCGAAGGGACAAUGGCAGGUGGGCAGUUUGACUGGGGCGGUCGCCUCCUAAAAGGUAACGGAGGCGCCCAAAGGUCCCCUCAGCGCGGACGGGAAUCGCGCGAAGAGUGCAAAGGCAGAAGGGGGCUUGACUGUGAGAGAGACAUCUCGAGCAGGGACGAAAGUCGGGCUUAGUGAUCCGGCGGCAGUGAGUGGGAACGCCGUCGCUCAACGGAUAAAAGCUACCCCGGGGAUAACAGGCUGAUCUCCCCCAAGAGUCCACAUCGACGGGGAGGUUUGGCACCUCGAUGUCGGCUCAUCGCAUCCUGGGGCUGAAGUAGGUCCCAAGGGUUGGGCUGUUCGCCCAUUAAAGCGGUACGUGAGCUGGGUUCAGAACGUCGUGAGACAGUUCGGUCCCUAUCCGUCGCGGGCGUAGGAGACUUGAGGGGAGCCAUCCCUAGUACGAGAGGACCGGGAUGGACGAGCCGAUGGUGUACCAGUUGCACCGCCAGGUGCACAGCUGGGUAGCCAAGCUUGGAAGGGAUAAAGGCUGAAAGCAUCUAAGCGUGAAGCCCACCCCAAGAUAAGGUCUCCCACCCGAAAGGGGUAAGGCACCUUGUAGAAGACGAGGUAGAUAGGCCGGGGGUGUAAGAGCGGAAACGCUUUUAGCUGACCGGUACUAAUAAGCCGAGGACUUGACCCU